rnacentral:rRNA from 1 species
UACGGGGGGGGCAAGCGUUGUUCGGAAUUACUGGGCGUAAAGGGCUCGUAGGCGGCCAACUAAGUCAUACGUGAAAUCCCUCGGCUUAACCGGGGAACUGCGUCUGAUACUGGAUGGCUUGAGAUUGGGAGAGGGAUGCGGAAUUCCAGGUGUAGCGGUGAAAUGCGUAGAUAUCUGGAGGAACACCGGUGGCGAAGGCGGCUCACUGGCCCGGUACUGACGCUGAGGCACGAAAGCCAGGGGAGCAAACGGG